rnacentral:lncRNA from 10 species
AGGAGUUUGAGCCAUAGAUUUACAGAGCAAACUCAAUGAUAACAUAGGCAUAGCACACACAAACACCCUCACAAGGGUGAAGCCCUUCAACUAUGAUGACUUCAGGAAAAAUCCACAGAGGCCAGGAAGAAGAGCGAUGGCAAUAUAAAGUUGUUUCAAACAAAUGUGAUAAAAUUAGCAAGGUCAUGGGCAAAAUGCAGUUAAGAGGUUAUGAGAUAUUCAUUCCAAGUAUGACUGUGACCAAAGUCCUGUUUACAAAGAGGAGAUUUAUGGUGAUCCUGAGAUAAGAAGAACCUGUAUUCAAAGAAGAUAUUUGAAAACAACAACUGUCAUGGUUCUACAGACCUGAGAAUGGGGUUAACAAGACAAUUCUCAUUAAAUGAAGGAGGCAGCCUAAUAAAUUAAGGGGAUCAUGAUGGCUCUGGAUUCCAGGCUUUCCAGAAUUGGGAAAGAUCAGAUGCAAAUGAUUUCUGCAUUUUGAUUCUCAGCUAUGAUUCCCCUGGACCUGAGCUGUUUGUGGCAGGUGCUCUCUCCCUGGGCAUGUUGUGCUGGGGAACCUGACCAUCCUCUUCAUGUUUGAUUUCUUGCCCAUGUGUGACCUGCCUAAACUUGACAAGAGUUUCCUUGGAAUCAAGUGACACUGCAACCUUUUUGCCUGAGAGUGUGCUGACUUUUGAGCCAAUCUGGGGAACCUCUGGCAACACUGCAGAGCAUAAUUGAAUGAAAUUCCAGGCAUUCCAUUUGAAGACAGGGAUGGUCUGUCUGGAGACACAGUGAAUGAGAGCUAGCCAGACCUUGGGGAGCAGAAACUACCAGGUCUGCUCCAUCCUUCCUGACACCGCCACCAGGUGCAACUUGGGUCAAGUGGUGCAGCUGCUUCACCCCUGCCCUGGAGGCCCCUGUAGUCUUAAGGCCCCAACACACCUGCCUCCACCAGCUUUGUCAUCAGAGGCAACAUACCCCAGAACCAUCAGCUGCUGACACAGGAUCUCAACUAUGAGGCCAAAUACGUGGAUUACCCUCCCUGCCCUGCCCUGCUCAGCUCAGCUCAGCCAUCACAGGUCUGGACCUUCAGGCGUGAGCUCUGAAAGGAGUCUUAAGCAGAACAGCAUCAUAUCCUGGGAGCACAACUGGGAAGCUGGGAAUCCAUGUGUGGGUUCCAUCCCUCCCUAGCCUCUGCAAAUUAACAUAUAAGGAGAAGAGUCCCAUUAAUUCACUCAAGCUACCAGCUCUUUCCCACAGUGGUGCUGCACACACCAAGAAAUGUGAGGAUGUGGCUAGGCAUCUGUUAGAAAAAUUUCCAAAUAUUCCAUUGUAAUUACAGGUCUCUCUAACAUCUACAGUGGGAGCUGAUCUGCAUUAAGUAAGCAUCUCAAGAGUGAAGAAUGGCUCAAUUCCAAGUGAACCCAAAUCUCAGCCCUAUAACAGCCAAGAUACCCUGCUCUGCCUUUUGUUUCAGGAAACAAACUUUGUAGUUUCUGCAAAGCUCUUCAUCCUUACCCCAGAAGGGUUUGCAAUGAGCAUGCUGUUUCCUUCCUUUCUUCCUUUCUCUCUUUCUCUCUUUCUUUCUUUCUUUCUUUCUGACAGAGCCUCGCUCUAUCACCCAGGCUGGAAUGCAGUGACAUGAUCUCGGCUCACUACAACCUUCGCCUCCUGGAUUCAAGUGAUUCUCCUGCCUCAGCCUCCUGAGUAGCUGGGAUUACAGAUGCGCACCACCAUGCCUGGUUAAUUUUUGUUUUUUUAGUAGAGACAGGGUUUCACCAUGCUGGCCAGGCUGGUCUAGAACUCCUGACCUUGUGAUCUGCCCACCUCAGCCUCCCAAAGUGCUGGGAUUACAGGCGUGAGCCACUGCACCCAGCCCUUGCUGUUUUCUUUAGGCUCUGCUCCCAGAAAUAGUAACACAAAUAAUACUGGUUACCAAGGCGGUAGGUCUUUCAGAAAUUAAAAUACACAUGCACACUCACAGACAUGUACAUCAAUGGGGUACUACCAUCACUGGAAAACACUGCAUAAGCCCUGGACAUUGACGUGAAGUGCAAAUGUUUCCAACAAAUUCAGAGAAAGACCGCAGAAACUAAGCUUUCAGAAUAUAGCUACCCACAGUCCAGCCUCUCAACCCAUCUGUGUCUACACAGUAGCUAAGCAGAGAACAUCAACAUCAACAUGUGUCUCUCUCAACUUAAGUUCCAGGGGGAAGAUGCAAAUAGAAAGGGGAGACAUGGUUUGACUCAUGAUAUCAUCAGAAAAAUGACAGACCAGGCCAGACUGUCCCCCAUUCCCAUGUAAGAAGAAAAACAGUACGUGAAUCUAAUAUGCAGUUGUAGAAAAGUUAAAAUUUUUCUCUAAGAAACACAAGGAAACUUUGUUAAUAUACUUUAAACUGAUGAAUUGUACUGGAUGUAAACUGGACCUCAAUAGAAGCCAUCAGCCCCUGAAUCACACUUGCUCCCUCCUAUCUCAGACCUUCUCACACACCACUCCCUCUGCCUGGAAUGUCACGUCCAUUUCCUCCCAGUUCCCAGCUCCUUCAUACUACAUCUGAUCUGCAGUGUUUUGCUUCUCAAGCAUUUAUCGUUUGUAAUUAAAGAUUAUGUGUGUCAGUUAUUUUUAACAUGGGGUUCUCUCUGCAUACAUAUGCUCCAUGAAGGGCUGUUUUCUCAUCAUCAGAUGAGCCCAUCUGGGAAUGCGGAGUGAAACUAUCACCUUUUAC